GGUACAGAGAGUAGCUUGCUACUUUGCUGACGAGCGGCGGACGGGUGAGUAAUGCUUGGGAACAUGCCUUGAGGUGGGGGACAACAGUUGGAAACGACUGCUAAUACCGCAUAAUGUCUACGGACCAAAGGGGGCUUCGGCUCUCGCCUUUAAUUGGCCCAAGUGGGAUUAGCUAGUUGGUGAGGUAAUGGCUCACCAAGGCGACGAUCCCUAGCUGGUUUGAGAGGAUGAUCAGCCACACUGGGACUGAGACACGGCCCAGACUCCUACGGGAGGCAGCAGUGGGGAAUAUUGCACAAUGGGCGCAAGCCUGAUGCAGCCAUGCCGCGUGUGUGAAGAAGGCCUUCGGGUUGUAAAGCACUUUCAGUCAGGAGGAAAGGUUAGUAGUUAAUACCUGCUAGCUGUGACGUUACUGACAGAAGAAGCACCGGCUAACUCCGUGCCAGCAGCCGCGGUAAUACGGAGGGUGCGAGCGUUAAUCGGAAUUACUGGGCGUAAAGCGUACGCAGGCGGUUUGUUAAGCGAGAUGUGAAAGCCCCGGGCUCAACCUGGGAACUGCAUUUCGAACUGGCAAACUAGAGUGUGAUAGAGGGUGGUAGAAUUUCAGGUGUAGCGGUGAAAUGCGUAGAGAUCUGAAGGAAUACCGAUGGCGAAGGCAGCCACCUGGGUCAACACUGACGCUCAUGUACGAAAGCGUGGGGAGCAAACGGGAUUAGAUACCCCGGUAGUCCACGCCGUAAACGAUGUCUACUAGAAGCUCGGAGCCUCGGUUCUGUUUUUCAAAGCUAACGCAUUAAGUAGACCGCCUGGGGAGUACGGCCGCAAGGUUAAAACUCAAAUGAAUUGACGGGGGCCCGCACAAGCGGUGGAGCAUGUGGUUUAAUUCGAUGCAACGCGAAGAACCUUACCUACACUUGACAUACAGAGACUACC
rnacentral:rRNA from 1 species